GACCCUCAGAAUCAGGGUAGGGAUACCCGGCUGAACUUAAAGCCAUAUCAAUUAAGCCGGAA
rnacentral:rRNA from 1 species